rnacentral:rRNA from 1 species
GUAGGUGGCAAGCGUUGUCCGGAAUUAUUGGGCGUAAAGCGCGCGCAGGCGGUCCUUUAAGUCUGAUGUGAAAGCCCACGGCUCAACCGUGGAGGGUCAUUGGAAACUGGGGGACUUGAGUACAGAAGAGGAAAGCGGAAUUCCAAGUGUAGCGGUGAAAUGCGUAGAGAUUUGGAGGAACACCAGUGGCGAAGGCGGCUUUCUGGUCUGUAACUGACGCUGAGGCGCGAAAGCGUGGGGAGCAAACAGGAUUAGAUACCCUGGUAGUCCACGCCGUAAACGAUGAGUGCUAAGUGUUAGGGGGUUUCCGCCCCCCUUAGUGCUGCAGCUAACGCAUUAAGCACUCCGCUGGGGAGUACGGCCGCAAGGCUG